ACUCCUACGGGAGGCAGCAGUAGGGAAUCUUCCACAAUGGGCGCAAGCCUGAUGGAGCAACACCGCGUGAGUGAAGAAGGGUUUCGGCUCGUAAAGCUCUGUUGUUAAAGAAGAACACGUAUGAGAGUAACUGUUCAUACGUUGACGGUAUUUAACCAGAAAGUCACGGCUAACUACGUGCCAGCAGCCGGGGUAAUACGUAGGUGGCAAGCGUUAUCCGGAUUUAUUGGGCGUAAAGAGAGUGCAGGCGGUUUUCUAAGUCUGAUGUGAAAGCCUUCGGCUUAACCGGAGAAGUGCAUCGGAAACUGGAUAACUUGAGUGCAGAAGAGGGUAGUGGAACUCCAUGUGUAGCGGUGGAAUGCGUAGAUAUAUGGAAGAACACCAGUGGCGAAGGCGGCUACCUGGUCUGCAACUGACGCUGAGACUCGAAAGCAUGGGUAGCGAACAGGAUUAGAUACCCUGGUAGGAUAGCG
rnacentral:rRNA from 1 species